GGAACUGGAAAUGAGGCGGUCCAGCUGGAUUUCAGCUGGACCCAGCUGGAAUCUAGCUGGACCUCCUCAUUUUCAGUUCC
rnacentral:pre_miRNA from 1 species